UCAAUAUAGGUGCUGUUUCUACAGAGAAUAGGGAACCUGGUGAAAAUCCAGGACGGUAGCGCCGCUGUAAACUGAGAAAAGAAAUAAAUAGACAUUGAUGUAUAUCGAGAAGUCUAUUUUGUAACAUUCAGUAAGUCAGAAGACCUGCCUAUAUU
rnacentral:ncRNA from 1 species